CCUACGGGGGGCUGCAGUGGGGAAUAUUGGACAAUGGGGGGAACCCUGAUCCAGCCAUGCCGCGUGUGUGAAGAAGGCCCUCGGGUUGUAAAGCACUUCCAGUGAGGAAGAACGCCUGGUGGUUAAUACCCAUCAGGAAAGACAUCACUCACAGAAGAAGCACCGGCUAACUCCGUGCCAGCAGCCGCGGUAAUACGGAGGGUGCGAGCGUUAAUCGGAAUUACUGGGCGUAAAGCGCGCGUAGGUGGCUUGAUAAGCCGGUUGUGAAAGCCCCGGGCUCAACCUGGGAACGGCAUCCGGAACUGUCAAGCUAGAGUGCAGGAGAGGAAGGUAGAAUUCCCGGUGUAGCGGUGAAAUGCGUAGAGAUCGGGAGGAAUACCAGUGGCGAAGGCGGCCUUCUGGACUGACACUGACACUGAGGUGCGAAAGCGUGGGUAGCAAACAGGAUUAGAUACCCUAGUAGUC
rnacentral:rRNA from 1 species